rnacentral:rRNA from 1 species
UACGUAGGGUGCAAGCGUUAAUCGGAAUUACUGGGCGUAAAGCGUGCGCAGGCGGUCAUGUAAGACAGUUGUGAAAUCCCCGGGCUCAACCUGGGAACUGCAUCUGUGACUGCAUUGCUGGAGUACGGCAGAGGGGGAUGGAAUUCCGCGUGUAGCAGUGAAAUGCGUAGAUAUGCGGAGGAACACCGAUGGCGAAGGCAAUCCCCUGGACCUGUACUGACGCUCAUGCACGAAAGCGUGGGGAGCAAACAGG